GACGAACGCUGGCGGCGUGCCUAAUACAUGCAAGUCGAGCGGACCCUUCGGGGUUAGCGGCGGACGGGUGAGUAACACGUAGGCAACCUGCCUGUAAGAUCGGGAUAACUAUCGGAAACGAUAGCUAAGACCGAAUAGCUAGCUUGGGUGCAUGCCCGGGCUAAGAAACACGGAGCAAUCUGUGGCUUACAGAUGGGCCUGCGGCGCAUUAGCUAGUUGGUAGGGUAACGGCCUACCAAGGCGACGAUGCGUAGCCGACCUGAGAGGGUGAACGGCCACACUGGGACUGAGACACGGCCCAGACUCCUACGGGAGGCAGCAGUAGGGAAUCUUCCGCAAUGGACGCAAGUCUGACGGAGCAACGCCGCGUGAGUGAUGAAGGUUCUCGGAUCGUAAAGCUCUGUUGCCAAAGACGAACAGCUAGGAGAGUAACUGCUCUUAGUGUGACGGUAUUUGAGAAGAAAGCCCCGGCUAA
rnacentral:rRNA from 1 species